rnacentral:rRNA from 1 species
GAUGAACGCUGGCGGCGUGCCUAACACAUGCAAGUCGAGCGAUUCUCUUCGGAGAAGAGCGGCGGACGGGUGAGUAACGCGUGGGUAACCUGCCCUGUACACACGGAUAACAUACCGAAAGGUAUGCUAAUACGAGAUAAUAUGUUUUUGUCGCAUGGUAGAAGUAUCAAAGCUUUUGCGGUACAGGAUGGACCCGCGUCUGAUUAGCUAGUUGGUAAGGUAACGGCUUACCAAGGCGACGAUCAGUAGCCGACCUGAGAGGGUGAUCGGCCACAUUGGAACUGAGACACGGUCCAAACUCCUACGGGAGGCAGCAGUGGGGAAUAUUGCACAAUGGGCGAAAGCCUGAUGCAGCAACGCCGCGUGAGCGAUGAAGGCCUUCGGGUCGUAAAGCUCUGUCCUCAAGGAAGAUAAUGACGGUACUUGAGGAGGAAGCCCCGGCUAACUACGUGCCAGCCGCCGCGGUAA